GUCGUUGUAGUAUAGUGGUGAGUAUCCCCACCUGUCACGCGGGAGACCCGGGUUCGAUCCCCUGGCAACGGCG
rfam:Ipomoea nil DNA, scaffold: scaffold2940, cultivar: Tokyo-kokei standard.